UGAAGGAGCAGGUCAUCUACACAGUCCU
rnacentral:piRNA from 1 species